UUUUUUUUUUUUUGGAUCCGAGGAAUUCAUAGCCUCCUGGGUUCUGUGACUAGCAGGAAGCUAGUCAUUACAGGAAUAUUUGGGAGAAUGAGGACCAGACUCAGUCUACUCUCAUGGAGCAACCACCCACCCCCCAAACCCACAAGUUUUAGGACCAACAUAUCCAGCAGCUCUCCAGGACUCCUUCAGGUCUUCAGCGCCAGAUCAGGACGGACUGCAAGGCACCUAGUCCGGCAGACUGAACAACUACUGGAUUCCUGACCUCCACAAUGUGAGGCAGCCAUUGUUGGACUACGUGGACCACAUCCCAGUAAGACAAUCCAUUCUCUCGGUCUGUUCUUUUAGGGAACCCUCGUACAAUUCCUCAUGUGAAAGAAAAUGUGACAUUCAUCUUUGAGUUUGGCUUACUUUAAUAAACAUUAUGAUCUCAAGCUA